AUUGAACGCUGGCGGCAGGCCUAACACAUGCAAGUCGAGCGGAUGAGUGGAGCUUGCUCCAUGAUUCAGCGGCGGACGGGUGAGUAAUGCCUAGGAAUCUGUCUGGUAGUGGGGGACAACGUUUCGAAAGGAACGCUAAUACCGCAUACGUCCUACGGGAGAGAGCAGGGGACCUUCGGGCCUUGCGCUAUCAGAUGAGCCUAGGUCGGAUUAGCUAGUUGGUGGGGUAAUGGCUCACCAAGGCGACGAUCCGUAACUGGUCUGAGAGGAUGAUCAGUCACACUGGAACUGAGACACGGUCCAGACUCCUACGGGAGGCAGCAGUGGGGAAUAUUGGACAAUGGGCGAAAGCCUGAUCCAGCCAUGCCGCGUGUGUGAAGAAGGUCUUCGGAUUGUAAAGCACUUUAAGUUGGGAGGAAGGGCAGUAAGUUAAUACUUUGCUGUUUUGACGUUACCGACAGAAUAAGCACCGGCUAACUCUGUGCCAGCCGCCGCGGUAACAC
rnacentral:rRNA from 1 species